rnacentral:rRNA from 1 species
UGGGUUAAUACCCGAUAGGUCUCGAUUGCUGGAAUGCAUCGAGAAGGAAAGCUCCGGCGCCUAAGGAUGGGUCUGCGGCCUAUCAUGUAGUAGUGGGUGUAGCGUACCUACUAGCCUACGACGGGUACGGGUUGUGAGAGCAAGAGCCCGGAGAUGGAUUCUGAGACACGAAUCCAGGCCCUACGGGGUGCAGCAGGCGCGAAAACUUUACAAUGCUGGCAACAGCGAUAAGGGAACCUCGAGUGCCAGGUUACAAAUCUGGCUGUCGAGAUGCCUAAAAAGCAUUUCAUAGCAAGGGCCGGACAAGACCGGUGCCAGCCGCCGCGGUAACACCGGCGGCUCGAGUGGUAACCGUUAUUAUUGGGUCUAAAGGGUCUGUAGCCGGCCGGAUAAGUCUCUUGAGAAAUCUGGCAGCUUAACUGUCAGGCCUUCAUGAGAUACUGUCUGGCUCGAGGCCGGGAGAGGUGAGAGGUACUUCUGGGGUAGGGGUGAAAUCUUGUAAUCCUUGAAGGACCACCAGUGGCGAAGGCGUCUCACCAGAACGGACCUGACGGCAAGGGACGAAAGCUAGGGGCACGAACCGGAUUACAUACCCGGGUAGUCCUAGCCGUAAACGAUACUCGCUAAGUGUCGGCCACGGUGCGACCGUUGUCGGUGCCGUAGGGAAGCCGUGAAGCGAGCCACCUGGGUAGUACAGCCGCAGGCUGAAACUUAAAGAAUUGGCGGGGG